GCGGGCGUGGCGGAAUGGCAGACGCGCCGGACUUAGGAUCCGGUGGGGCAACCCGUGUGGGUUCAACUCCCACCGCCCGCACCA
rnacentral:tRNA from 1 species